rnacentral:rRNA from 1 species
AUGACGGUGCAGGCGCUCGCGCCGCCACUGCCGGAGCCGCGGCAGCUCAGCCAGGCGGACCUCAGGGCCGUCUCCGUGCUCGGCCGCAGCGCCAAGGGCGUCGUCUUCCACAUCGUGCCCGAGGGCGAGGGCGGCGCCGGUGACGUCGCCAUGGCACUCAAGGCGGUCUCGCAGGAGGCCGCGCGGCACAAGAAGAGCGGCGGGAGUGGCGGCAGGGACGGACACUGGAGGAUCUGGUUCGAGCGCGACCUGCUCCUGGCCCUGCGCCACCCGCUGCUCCCUGCCCUCCACGGCGUCCUCGCCAUCGACCGCUGCAGCGGCGGUGACCUCAACUCCCUUCGACGCCGCCAGACCGAGAAGAUGUUCUCCAACUCCGUCAUAAGCGGCUAUUGA